rnacentral:rRNA from 1 species
AUCGAACGCUGGCGGCAGGCCUAACACAUGCAAGUCGAGCGUGCGGCGGACGGGUGAGUAAUGUCUGGGAAACUGCCUGUUGGAUGGGGAUAACUACUGGAAACGGUAGCUAAUACCGCAUACCAUCAGAUUUGCCCAGUGGGGAUUAGCUUGUGGGUGGGGUAACGGCUAACCUAGGCGACGAUCCCUAGCUGUUCUGAGAGGAUGACCAGCCACACGGGAACGGAGACACGGUCCAGGAUCCUACGGAAGGCAGCAGUGGGGAAUAUUGGGCAAUGGGCGAAAGUCUGAAGAAGCCAAGCGGCGUGUGUGAAGAAGGCUUUCGGGUUGUAAAGCACUGUGAUAGGAGAAGCGUUAUCCGAAGAGAAAGCAACGGCUAACUCCGUGCCAGCAGGCGCGGUAAUAC